rnacentral:rRNA from 1 species
GAUGAACGCUAGCGGGAGGCCUAACACAUGCAAGCCGAGCGGUAGAGUUUCUUCGGAAACUUGAGAGCGGCGCACGGGUGCGUAACACGUGUGCAACCUACCUUUAUCUGGGGGAUAGCCUUUCGAAAGGAAGAUUAAUACCCCAUAAUAUAAUGAUUGGCAUCAAUUAUUAUUGAAAACUCCGGUGGAUAGAGAUGGGCACGCGCAAGAUUAGAUAGUUGGUGAGGUAACGGCUCACCAAGUCAAUGAUCUUUAGGGGUCCUGAGAGGGAGAUCCCCCACACUGGGACCUGGAAACGGACCCAGCGCCUUACGGAGGGAGCCAGUAGGGAAAUUGGACAAUGGGAGAGGGGCUGAACCAGCCAACCCGCGUGGAAGAAGGCCGGCCUUAGGGUUGUAAACUUUUUUUUUUCAAGGAAAAACCCACCCUCGGGAAGGGUGGCUGAGGGUACUGAAGAAAAAGGAACCGCUUACUCCCGU